GACUUGCGACGUCGUAAAAACUCAUCUCUGACCACGUCGCCAUCAAGGCACCCGCGGUCGUCAACACGUUUCGACUUCGUCGAGAUUCAGAUUUGGGUCACAUCAAUGCGCACCCGAGGUCGUCAACACGUUUCGACUUCGUCGAGAUUCGGAUUUGGGUCGCAUCAAUGCGCACCCGAGUUUAAGAAAGUAACUUAAUUAAAUCGCGCUUAAAGGCUCUAGAGUAAUAUUGUUUU
rnacentral:lncRNA from 1 species